AGUGAACGCUGGCGGUAGGCCUAACACAUGCAAGUCGAACGGCAGCACAGGAGAGCUUGCUCUCUGGGUGGCGAGUGGCGGACGGGUGAGGAAUACAUCGGAAUCUACUCUGUCGUGGGGGAUAACCUAGGGAAACUUACGCUAAUACCGCAUACGACCUACGGGUGAAAGCAGGGGACCUUCGGGCCUUGCGCGAUUGAAUGAGCCGAUGUAGGAUUAGCUAGUUGGCGGGGUAAAGGCCCACCAAGGCGACGAUCCGUAGCUGGUCUGAGAGGAUGAUCAGCCACACUGGAACUGAGACACGGUCCAGACUCCUACGGGAGGCAGCAGUGGGGAAUAUUGGACAAUGGGCGCAAGCCUGAUCCAGCCAUACCGCGUGGGUGAAGAAGGCCUUCGGGUUGUAAAGCCCUUUUGUUGGGAAAGAAAUCCAGCUGGCUAAUACCCGGUUGGGAUGACGGUACCCAAAGAAUAAGCACCGGCUAACUUCGUGCCAGCCGCCGCUGUAA
rnacentral:rRNA from 1 species